GCGUCCCCUUCGUCUCCUCCCAGGAGGAACCCAAUCAAGCAUCUUUUUUGGCAGCCUCUCUUUCGUCAUCCUAUUGAUAUGACUGUGCCAGACAAGCUGUUUGGUCAUGAUAUCGAACACGAUGUCACGAAGCGUGGAGCUAUAUCAUUAGUUAAAACUGGUGGUUGUUACAGAUUAAGGGAGAAAAUGAUGGACAAAUUAAAGGGUCUCUUGUCGGUUGCCGUUAGUAAGUCCAUUACCUAUCGCAUUUGUCCAUUGCGACCACCCGUUUCCACCAAUAGGAUCCCCCCAUAUCCCCUUUGUCGUUUUUGUCUUGUCUAUCAAUUUCAAUAAUCGGCCUACAGGAUCGUAUCCCGAGCACAAACUAUUUCCCGCGAAUUUUCGCCAUCGAAUGCCAUAGACAAUACCGACCGAUCAAACCUCAAAACAAAAUUCACCCCGGAGGAAGAUUUGGCCAGUCCAGCGCCGGAUUUUGGGAGGGAUGGGGGAGCACCUGAGACCUGAGUACCACAAUAUAAUGUUUUUUGGAGAGAGGUGCAAAAGAUUUGCGGGCUGUCCGCACAAAUAAUAAUUUUUCCUUCAUUUCAUUUUCAACCACUACGAGAGAAAAUAGGCUGAAGAGGGGCCUUUGGUACAAAAUUUUGUAUGAAAAUGUGGGUCACGAACUCGCGGUGGCCUCAAACUGUGUCUGAAGAAGGUGACUUUUCAACAAUUUCUUGAGGAAGCCUCCCGGACCAUCCUCCGUGCUGGGGGUAUUAGAACCCUACAAACCUCCCUUCGGUGUGUAGAAUCAGGGGUGGUUGUCACCAAAUAUGUACAGCUACGGCUGUGUUUGGAAGCGGGCGCCCCACCGCCCUGAAUCCGGCGCUGGGUCAGUCCCACGGACAGCAAUUUCUAUAAUAUUUUCGAUUUUUGAUUUGACCUCCAGAUCCCAGAGGUGAGUUUAAAACUAAAUCGUUCCAAUCGUUGACCAAUCUAUUUAUCUCUCCCGCUGGCUACUUUGCUUGUAAAGUUGGUAUGAGCUCAAUUUCAUUUGAAAAAGUGUGUGAUAUUCGAUCAGGAGAAUUCGUCUUUAGUCUCAGGUGCGUUGAGAAACUCAACGGAAGCCACUGAUGUUUCAAUUGAUGGUAAUCAAAGUAACGUUAGAGACGCCCUAGGUUUUAUUUCCAUGGUAAUUCUAUGGGUCUCAGUCAUGGGAAUUUUCGAGGGUGGAAGGCCAAAGCUGUUGGAGAAAGACAAAAUUUGAUGAAUGGGGCAGAACAGUAAGACCUUAUGUACAAGCUAAGUGCGAAAAGAAAAUAAUUUUUCUCACCUUGUAAGUAUCAUCAUUUACAAGAAGUUCAUCCAGACUCUUAAUAAAUACGCAAUUGAAAAGCAAUAUAAACUUUGAACAUUGGCGUAUCCAGCAAAAUGGCAACGUUGCUUUUCUCCAUUUAAACCCAUGGAAAUGUAUCGAUUCUUAGAGGGGGCAAGUGCUCCGACAAGAAUCGAUUAUUUAACAUAGCUUUAAAAGGAGAAAAUUCGGUGUUGCCAAAUUGCUGGACCCGCCUCUGACUUUGAAUGGCAAUGCGGUAACACGCCCUCUAGCAAUGAAAUAAAAAUUAAGCGACACUAUUAUAAUGGAAAAAUUCAAAUAAAAAAUAAAAUGUGAUUAACUCACGAACAAUGACUGCGCAAUUCAUUGAUAACUAGAGACUCCCUACUAUACGCAAUCCAAACUCUCCUUGGAUUAAGAAUUACUGAAUGAUACUUCGACCUUUUGAUGAGAAUAAUGCCUCCUUAGACAGCCACGGUGAACUUAUCUUACGUGCAUCAGGUCUCAGUUUACAUUUUAUUAUGUUCAUAACAUUGUAUUUUAUUUAACUAUUUUUCGUCUCAUUUGUUAUUGGACAGUUUUGAUACUCAUUAAUUUUAAGAGAAUGUAAUACCUUCUUCCUAAUUAUUUCUCGAAUGCGUUUAGUACGACCCCUGAAGCAAUGAAGCAUUGGCAGAGAUGUAAAAAAAAGGAGCCUUGAAGGUUAAGCAUUAAAUGAAAAGUGACCCCCGAAUACGAGAAAUCUAGGUACCUAAGUAUAUUCCUCCGAGAAUAUUGACAGUGCCUUGAAAGAUGUAUUCCCGCAUGCACAUCGCAAAAAGGCAUUUCAAGAUGAAACGUGCGACUCUGAAGCAGUCUUGAUUCAUAGAUCGGACUUUCAUUCAAAGACUUAUUAUCUUCUUGAAAAUUGCACCCUCCAAUGCGUGGUCUAACCUCAUUCGUAGGCCAUCUUCCUUUUAGCGGCGAUGAAAACUUCAUAUCGAAAGAGAUCCACUAAGUCUAGACGGGUGCUUUAAAAGUCGACUAAAGGGUUGAACUUUCUUUAAGCAAUUAAGUACCUAAAGUUGGUACAAUAUAGCAUGGUACCAGGUGAUCUAUGGCUCCUUACUCAUCGAUCAGUGGCUUUUAAAUUGAUUUGCCAAAAAGUAUCCUCUCGAUUUCAGAGAGCCAAUGUUAUUAGUCUUGUUUUCCUCUGAUGAAUUUGUCUCUCCUCUUGUGUAAAGUUUAACUGUAGCAAUCUAAUCAUAAGUGUCUUCUGAUAUGAAAUAGUGAUAAAACUCCGUCCGUUUCAAGUUUGUUUGUUUUUAGGUACUAGGUAUAUUAAUUAAUUCAGUCAAACCUCUGAAUGUGAUGUUAGAUGUUGUUCUACAGUGUGUAUAUUUUAAGAUGCGAUCCAAAUGAUGCCACAAUACCCUGGAAAGUGUGUUUUCAAGACAAUUUAACAACUUUAAUUACUGGUCUUCAUCACGACUAAGGACAAAAACCAAAAUAAAUUUACCGUCAGUUCACAUCAAACCUCUAUUGUUUAUCAAAAAAUUCAACAUUUUGGACUCUUGUUUGGCUUCAAACUAAAAUACAAUACAAUUUUACCGUUUACAUCUUGUGUACGGUAAAAUGCUCCUUAUUGCCUUUGCGAAUGCUUAAUAAAGACCAUAAAAUCAUAGAAAAUCAAUUCCUGAAAUUCAAAAAGUGACAUCAAAGCAGAACUUUCAGGACCGGAUGCCUACAUUGCGAUUUGCUCCUGCCGACGGUUUUUAUUUAUUCAAACCUACUGCACAUGUAAAACAGAUACCCAUCAUAUUCUUUCUACUUAUUUAGAUACAUUUUAUGUGAUUUAUUGACAGUGUUUAACAGCCCAACAUGUGUAAUCUAGUCGUUUUUACAGAAUAAAAAUAAUUUUUUCAACAUUGA